rnacentral:RNase_P_RNA from 1 species
UUAGUUAACUGAGUAAUCGCUAAUUUUCAAUUAAAAUUAGAGGAAAGUCCGGACUCCAUGAAGAAAAGUGCCAGAUAACAUCUGGGAGAUGAAAAUCUACGAAUAGUGCAACAGAAAAAAAACCGCCUUUUAAAACAUAUAAAAAAGGUAAGGGUGAAAUGGUGUUGUUAAGAGCUCACCGCAAUACUGGUAACAGUAUUGGCAUUGUAAACUCCACUUGGAGCAAGGUCAAAUAGAAACUCAUAAUAUGCAUCUUCACAUUAAUUGGGUUUGGGUAGACUGCUUGAAUUAAUAUGUGAAUAUUAAUCUAGAUAAAUGAUUACUUAAUACAGAACCCGGCUUAUAGGUUAACUAAAUUU